AGCAUGGCUCCCCAACAUUUUUUAAGCCCUUCGAUUUUCCUUAGAUUUUUAUUUCGUUUCUAAGCUGGCAUGCCGUCUUUGUUUUUAUUUUCAUGGAAUUUCAUUUAUACUUUUGAUUGGGGGUUUCUAAUUUUCUAUAGAAUAUUGCUGCAAUUUUCUACAUACAGGAGUCGCAAUUGGUUUGAAUAAUCGAUUUUUUUCUGGUUAGGUCAGAGUCUUUCUUCCUUCUUGGUCUGAUUGCUGGCUUCUCGAUUACUUGUGGAUCGAUCAAUGGAAACGGGAGAAAUGGGUCUUGUGGAAUUGUUCGGCUAUGACAAAGAACUAAGUUUAAUUCCUCCCCCAGUAUCAUAGGAAAAUUGCGGUUGGCAAGAUGAUGAACGCGAGGACGUGACGGAAGAGGAAUACUGCUCCUACGGGGAUCAAGUUUUGAAGACCGAUGGCUUUGAUGUUGACCGCAUUCCUGGCGUCUCUUGUUUCCACCAAAUUGACCAUGCAACUUGGAUGAUAAGAGUUGGGAUUACGAAGGGUAUUCGCGGCUUGCAAUCGAGGAAUACAACUUUCGCUUCAAGGAUGCAAAUGCAGGGUUGGAGUUUGUGAAGGUGCUGAAGGCAAUGGCUCAGGCUGCCAACGCAAUUAGGUUUUAUUUAACCCUUGAGGCUAGGGAUCUUGCUGAUGGAGGCAAGACUAAGAUCUAUCAAGCUGUGGUAUUAUCGGGGGUAACUGAGGAUACAGUGUCAUCCUUUAGGCUAAAACCUCAUGAAGAUGAGAAAGGUUGCAGUCGUGGAAAAGAAUGGUUUUGGGAAGAUUAUCUUUGCAGUGGUCUGAUAUGUUGAGUUUGACCAGAAGACUUUUCAGGGGUGUCAGGUUCAGGGAGUUUAGG